GUCUGAAGCCCGGGCCUGGGAGCUGGGGGGGCGGGCGCGCGCAUGCGUGCGGGGGGCGCGCGGUUCCCGCCCCUUCCAGAGCGCGUCCGCUUUCCCCUCCCCCCGUUCCUCCGCUGCCGCCUCCGAGCCUCCCCCGCGCCCAGCCCUCUCUUUUCGAGGGGGAGGGAGCCCGUCUCGCCCAUCUACUGACAACCCCUUCACCCCAGCUUCGCCCCGCCUUCCCUGAGCUUCGGAACAAACUCCACAGUGAGAGCUCGGCUUUCACAUUCCCGCCUCCGCCUCCUCUCUCCCCUCCCAACCCUAAAGCACUUCCUGCAAACUGCCCUGUUCUCGCUCCUCUCGGCGCCACCUCCCACUUCCCACUAACUAGGUGGCGGCUCUCACGUCGGCGGGGGCCGCGGGUUCUAGUCCUGGACUCUCCCCGCUGGAAGUAGUGGUCGUCUGCCCCAUUUUGCGGAUGGUGAAGUUAAGGCCCCGAGAUCUGACGUGCUUGACUCUAAUGGCCCCUCGAGUGGUUCCCAAGUUCGAACGCCCUGACGCUGGGAAGAUGGGCCCUCGACCCCCUGAAAUAAUCCACAAUUUGAAUAGAUGCCCAUUAAGUCUUUUCAUCACCAAGCCUUCUAAAGAUGACUUUUCUGGCCAUUGCCUAUAGACUCUAUUCUUCGUCAGAUCCUGGGACUCCAGAAAAAAAUUAAAAAGAGCCUUAAAGAUAGCCGAAACCGGUUUGGCUCAGUGGAUAGAGCGUCAGCCUGCGGACUGAAAGGUCCCAGGUUCGAUUCCGGUCAAGGGCAUGUACCUGGGUUGCGGGCAUAUCCCCAGUAGGAGAUGUGCAGGAGGCAGCUGAUCGAUGUUUCUCUCUCAUCGAUGUUUCUAACUCUCUAUCUCUCUCCCUUCCUCUCUGUAAAAAAUCAAUAAAAUAUAUUUAAAAAAAAAAAAGAGCCUUAA